AAGAAAAACAAAACCCCUUUCCUCCACGGGCCUUCAAUUCAUCAUCUUCUUCUCCUUUUACUGAAAGAAAGUCUGAGACAAAACCCCAACCCUAACAAGCACAAACUCAUCUUCAUCUUCCUCUCUUCGAUGAUGGCAAUAGAGGAGACAUUGACGUGUGCUCUUCUUUGCUAAUUCAUCCUCAUCUUCAUCUUCCUCAGACAUUGACGUGCUACUAAAUCAUCUUCUUCUUCGUCUUCUUCUCUUCGAGGAUGGCAAUGGAGGUCUUGAAACGCGUUUGAGCUUUGAUUCUCUCUGCUUGUAGUUCGAGAUUCAAUCUUCUCUGCUCGCAAUCGAGAUUCGAUCCACUUUGUUCGCGUUUGACCUUCGAUCGUCUCCGCUAGCAGUUCGAGCUUCCAUCAUUUCUGCUCACUUGUUCAUCACCGGGUUUUGCUUGCCGUUCAUCUAUGAUCUCUUCCAAUUUUCCAGCGUUCUUCUGCUAGGGUUCAUCACCGCUGAUCAUUGUUUUACAGCUGUUUGAUUUUGCUGACAAGUAUAGAGGAUCGUACUCGCUUUCUUGCCCAUUCUACUGCUCCUACUCAGGUUACCAGGUAUAAUCUGCCUUGGGUAACGAUGAGGUUAGAAAAACUCUUCAAACCAUUAAUUUUUAGUAUUUUUCAUUUUUUUGUUAUUAUUUAAUCUUUAUAAAUACUAAAUUAUUUUUAACAUUGGAUUUCCAAGUCAUGGUUAAUUUGUUAGCGCCCUGAGGCUUGCUCUGUAGUCGGUUCCAUUGAAUGUUCAAUAAAUAUACUUUUAGAAAUUUAAUUUCUAUGUUCACAAUGUAUUUUUUUUCUGGUAAUGCUAAUUUGACUACCUUAACAUCUCCAA